GUUUUAAUAGUUUAAUAAAAACAUUGGUCUUGUAAAUCAAAAUUAAGGUUUAACCUUUUAAAACU
rnacentral:tRNA from 1 species